CACGUAGGGCGCAAGCGUUGUCCGGAAUUAUUGGGCGGAAAGAGCUCGUAGGCGGUCUGUUGCGUCCGCUGUGAAAACUCGGGGCUUAACCCCGAGCCUGCAGUGGAUACGGGCAGACUAGAGGUAGGUAGGGGAGAAUGGAAUUCCCGGUGUAGCGGUGAAAUGCGCAGAUAUCGGGAGGAACACCGGUGGCGAAGGCGGUUCUCUGGGCCUUACCUGACGCUGAGGAGCGAAAGCGUGGGGAGCGAACAGG
rnacentral:rRNA from 1 species